rnacentral:misc_RNA from 1 species
UUAACUAUUAUAUAGUACUCAGACAAUAAUAAAUCAAGAGUUUUAGGUCCUCUGGCAGGCACUGACCAGCCAAAGCCGGUUGUCUUUCGACGGGCCUGCCAAAGCAACAAUGGUAUUGUAAACAAAGGGUGGAGUAGUAGACCGAAGUCCAUAAACUCUUUAAUGAUCCUUCCGCAGGUUCACCUACGGAAA